UAUAGAAAAGAUUACAAAGCAAAUGCAAACCGAUGGGUAAAAUUCUUGUGACCAUUACUUUACAGAAUUGAUUGUGUUUGUUUUCAUAUACAUAGAAACUCACCUAUUGUUUUUAAAUUAUGUUUAGGGUUUCUUGCGGUCUAUGGAUGGUGAACUAUAUGGAAUAUUGGACAGGGUCUUCUCUGUCUAAUAACAUAACUCAGAACGAUAUAACAAAGUUUAGAUUUAAGCUACCUGCAAUAUUGUGGAACUCAAGAUUAAACACAAAGAAAGGACAUCAAGAGACUAACCAUCAUGCAGAUGAAGAUGGAGGAAGUUCAUGUGAUGUUGAGAUAAUCAAGACUCCUUGUGAGUUACCUAUAUCGUUAAAUGCAUCAUCCCAGGUUCAACCAUUUAUAUCGUCAUGUGCUCUGCCCGCUACAUUAACAUCAACAAACACACAAGAACUGAUGAGUGCAUUAUGCACAUACAUCAUGGAGAUAGACGACGCCGAAUAUUUGGAGUAAGUUAAUGUUUUUUAUAGAUAUGAUAAAUAUUCAACAUCUAUGAUCUUUCUUUAACUAUGAAAACAAAUAUUUAUUUAAUAGGAAACAUUGGAUUCAGAGCACCAAACCUUAUCCAAUUUCUUUAAGUCUUCAACAGCUUAAAAAUAUAUUGGAUGUAAAUAAACCGAUGGAUAAGGAUUGCUUCAACAUAGCUGUUCGGAUGAUCGCAUGCAGUGAUGCCUUGUUCUUGUUGGAAAACAAAUACCACUACAUGGAUCUACAGUUCUGUGUAUGUUGAUUAGUGAUUAAACUGUUUUCAUAUAAAUAUGAUCAUUAUAUUACUAUAUUUUACUAACAUGGUAAUAAACAGUCCAUAACUAAUUAUGGUCAAGACCCUCGCCUUCGUGCAAAGCUAGAUACCAAUGUAUUGGCGAAUUUAUUUGAAUGUUGGCCUGACAUGGAGUAUACUAUUUCAGAUUGCAGCCAAAUUCUAUUGCCCUUUUGUUUCUUGGGUCACUUCAGUUUAUAUGUAUUUAACAUGAACACCAGAAGCAUCUAUAUAAUGGACUCCAUGCCUCUACCAUCAUGGUUUAAGGGUAACGAUCCAAACAUGCAUUAUAUUCACAAAAUACAUAAUAUUGCCAAUAAUAUGAAUGUUGCCAUAAAAUUGGCUAAUCCUACAUGGAAAGACGAUAUUUAUAUGUGGCGUCGUAUAGUACCAUCAUGGGUUCCAAAAACAUUAAACUGGGAUUUAUCAGGCUUUCUUGUUAUCAACUUUAUGCACUCGUGGAAUGGUAAAAGGUUACCCUGCA